rnacentral:rRNA from 2 species
CAUUGGAUCCAGACUUUGAUUAUGGCUCAGGAUAAACGCUGGAGGCGCACAUAAGACAUGCAAGUCGAACGAAGAUCGUUACAAAAAGGAUUGAAGAUUUAUCUGAUUGAGAUUUUGUAACAAUGGUCUUAGUGGCGGACUGGUGAGUAACGCGUAAGGAACCUGCCUUUUAGAGGGGAAUAACAAUGAGAAAUCAUUGCUAAUACCGCAUAUGCCAUAUUCUUCACAUGGAGAAAGUGGGAAAGGAGCAAUUCGCUAAAAGAUGGCCUUGCGUCUGAUUAGAUAGUUGGUAAGGUAAUGGCUUACCAAGUCGACGAUCAGUAGCCGGACUGAGAGGUUGAACGGCCACAUUGGGACUGAGAUACGGCCCAGACUCCUACGGGAGGCAGCAGUCGGGAAUAUUGCGCAAUGGAGGAAACUCUGACGCAGUGACGCCGCGUAUAGGAAGAAGUUUUUCGGAAUGUAAACUAUUGUCGUUAGGGAAGAGAAAGGACAGUACCUAAGGAGGAAGCUCCGGCUAACUACGUGCCAGCAGCCGCGGUAAUACGUAGGGAGCGAGCGUUAUCCGGAAUUAUUGGGUGUAAAGGGUGCGUAGACGGGAGAGCAAGUUAGUUGUGAAAUCCCUCGGCUUAACUGAGGAACUGCAACUAAAACUACUUUUCUUGAGUGCAGGAGAGGUAAGUGGAAUUCCUAGUGUAGCGGUGAAAUGCGUAGAUAUUAGGAGGAACACCAGUGGCGAAGGCGACUUACUGGACUGUAACUGACGUUGAGGCACGAAAGUGUGGGGAGCAAACAGGAUUAGAUACCCUGGUAGUCCACACCGUAAACGAUGGAUACUAGGUGUAGGAGAUAUUAAGUCUUCUGUGCCGUCGCAAACGCAAUAAGUAUCCCACCUGGGGAGUACGGCCGCAAGGUUGCAACUCAAAUGAAUUGACGGA